rnacentral:rRNA from 1 species
AUACGGAGGAUCCGAGCGUUAUCCGGAUUUAUUGGGUUUAAAGGGUGCGCAGGCGGCCAUUUAAGUCAGCGGUUAAAUCGUGGGGCUCAACCCCAUUCUGCCGUUGAUACUGGGUGGCUUGAUUGCGGUCGAGGUUGGCGGAAUUCGUUGUGGAGCGGGGGAAUGCAUAGAUAUGACGAAGAACACCGAUAGCGUAGGCAGCUGACCAGACCGCAAAUGACGCUCAUGCACGAAAGUGCGGGGAUCGAACAGGAUUAGAUACCCUGGUAGUCCGCACAGUAAACGAUGAAUACUCGCUGUUUGCGAUACACUGUAAGCGGCCAAGCGAAAGCGUUAAGUAUUCCACCUGGGGAGUACGCCGGCAACGGUGAAACUCAAAGGAAUUGACGGGG